AUGGGGUUGAUGCAAGAUCAAAUCAGACUGCAGAAGCAACACAUGAUGUUACCACAGUGUUCAGUAAUGUGCAACGAAAUUUGUGAAAAUGUACUUUGUUUGCACAUCGAAUGUUUGCAAACCAUUGCUCCGCACUACUUGCCAUCCCAAUUCUUGAUUCGUGCAGGAGCCGGCCGCUUCUCAGCUAUUUGGAUAUUUGAGCCGUUCCAUGCAAUCUGCCAACCUGACGUGCCCUUAUCAAGGCCGGCCGUUUUUACACCGCAAGGGAUAAAAACCAGCGCCGGACGAAACCUAGCCAUCGCCUCGCACUCGUGCCCCUCCCCUUCGCACUUUCAGCUGCCGCCGCUGCCAUGCUCCCACCCUUCUCCUCCCGUGGCCUCUUGUCGCUGGGCCGCAUGGCUGCGGCGGUCGACCUCCUCCUCGGCGCUCAAUAAUCACACGGGUUGGACAAGAGGAUCUGAGGUGAGCCCAUCCCCCUCGCCUUGUCCUUGUGUACUCGUUCUUGCUGCUUGUGCGCCGGUCUGUUUCUGUGUUCCUCGAUCUGUUGGUCCACUGUGUGCGGGUGCUCGUGGUUCUGGUCGGUUCCUCCUGCCGCGUCUUCAGUCACCGCUCUGCAGGUCGACCCCUUUUCUCCUUCUCUUCUCAUCUCUCCAGGCCUGUGCUUGCGUUCUUGCAGCCGUGUAUCUUCCUUGUGCUCUUAUUGGUAGAAGCCUGGCAUCUAAGAGCAGUAUCAUUUUCUGCUUUUGUAGUGGUUUGCUGUCGGCAAGAUGCAGUCAUUUGUAUGGGAUGCCAGCUGUUGAUUUUCUGUUGGUCUUAUGUGCCACUGGUUGCUUGCAUGCCCCUUUUCUAGUUAUUAGGGAGAUGGAGCAGUUCCAGCAGAGAGUUAGUUGUCUUCCAGUCAAAACUCAAAGCGCUGGGUGUGAGUCAGGUCCAGUACGGCAGGCCGGAGCUAAAGUACACCACGCGCACGAGUCUAAGCAGCUCGAUGGCAGGCGGGAAUGUCAAGCACACCGGGGCACCUUGUAUCGGUUGAUGGGGGGCCCUGCGGGAGAAGGCCUAGUCCAUCAGCUCCUCCGGCUCCAUGGACCCACCCGCCACCCUGCUCUGCCUGUAAACGGUAUUCAGUGCCACCUCCAUCUCCAAGCAGCGAGCGUCGAGGGUCUCUUUGUCCACCAUCGCGCUGGCGCCGGCUCCGCCCGUGGUCAGCAGCUCGCUGUAGAUAACGUAGUGCCCGGGGAUGCUCUUUGUGCACGCCUGGCUGAAGACAUGGAUGGCAGCACACAAAGAAGAGGCACCUCGAAGAAUAGUUGCAUCCUGGAAGAACAGGUGCACUGCUGCCACCAUUAUCCGCGUACCUCCCUCCUACGUUUCUCUCCUCGUGCGCAGCUCGACGUGCUUGUGGGCCCUUACUCUUGUUCGCGAGCAUCAGCAUUUGGAAUGUGUGUGUGUGGCCGGCGACGCGCUCACCCGACGCCCCCGGACCUGGUGCGGGGCGCAUGCAUCCUGCUGGACGACGUCGUAGUUAUCGCCGACACCGUCGUAGGCUAUGCCAGGAUCCGGCGGUGGAGGAGCGUGGACGUCAUCGAAGCGCCUAGUAGUCGAGCCGAUGCAGUAGAGCAAUCCGUCGACGCGACGGAUUGA
rnacentral:rRNA from 1 species